AAUGAACGCUGGCGGCAUGCCUAACACAUGCAAGUCGAACGAAGCCUUCGGGCUUAGUGGCGCACGGGUGCGUAACGCGUGAGAAUCUGCCCUUGGGUUCGGAACAACAGGUACAAAUGACUGCUAAUACCGAAUGAUGUCGCAAGACCAAAGAUUUAUUGCCCAGGGAUGAGCCCGCGUAGGAUUAGCUAGUUGGUGUGGUAAAAGCGCACCAAGGCGACUAUCCUUACCUGGUCUGAGAGGAUGAUCAGCCACACUGGGACUGACACACGGCCCAGACUCCUACGGGAGGCAGCAGUGGGGAAUAUUGUGACAAUGGGCGAAAACCUGAUCCAGCAAUGCCGCGUGAGUGAUGAAGGCCUUAGGGUUGUAAAGCUCUUUUACCCGGGAUGAUAAUGACAGUACCGGGAGAAUAAGCCCCGGCUAACUCCGUGCCAGCAGCCGCGGGAAUACGGAGGGAGCUAGCGUUAUUCGGAAUUACUGGGCGUAAAGCGCACGUAUGCGGCUUUGUAAGUUAGAGGUGAAAGCCUGGAGCUCAACUCCAGAACUGCCUUUAAGACUGCAUCGCUUGAAUCCAGGAGAGGUGAGUGGAAUUCCGAGUGUAGAGGUGAAAUUCGUAGAUAUUCGGAAGAACACCAGUGGCGAAGGCGGCUCACUGGACUGGUAUUGACGCUGAGGUGCGAAAGCGUGGGGAGCAAACAGGAUUAGAUACCCUGGUAGUCCACGCCGUAAACGAUGAUAACUAGCUGUCGGGGCUCUUAGAGCUUUGGUGGCGCAGCUAACGCAUUAAGUUAUCCGCCUGGGGAGUACGGCCGCCAGGUUAAAACUCAAAUGAAUUGACGGGGGCCUGCACAAGCGGAGGAGCAUGUGGUUUAAUUCGAAGCAACGCGCACAACCUUACCAGCGGUUGACAUGUCCGGACGAUUUCCAGAGAUGGAUCUCUUCCCUUCGGGGACUGGAACACAGGUGCUGCGUGGCUGUCGUCACCUCGUGUCGUGAGAUGUUGGGUUAAGUCCUGCAACGAGCGCAACCCUCGCCUUUAGUUACCAUCAUUCAGUUGGGUACUCUAUAGGAACCGCCGGUGAUAAACCAGAAGGAGGGGGGGAUGACGUCGAGUCCUCAUAGCCCCCUCGCGAUGGGGGCCACACGUGCUACAGUGGCAACUACAGUGGGCAGACAUCCCGCGAGGGUGAGCUAAUCUCCAAAAGUUGUCUCAGAUCGGAUUGCACUCUGCUACUCGAGUGCAUGAAGGCUGAAUCGCUAGUAAUCGCGGAUCAGCAUGCCGCGUUGAAUACGUUCUCGGGUCU
rnacentral:rRNA from 1 species